CGACCAUUGUAAGGCAGUGCUUGGCUCUGCAGAAACAAGGACAUUCUCACGUUUCUAUUCGAUCAGUCUGCAAUAACCGGAGACCGGAGCCUCAGGAAAGCGAGUCGUAGGCACCGGGUUGCUUUGGUUGUAUCCAAGCAUUCAUUAUACCAGAUACCGACUGCCUUGUGAGAAGGUCAUCGAUAGAGAUCGUCCAGGAGGGUGCUUGUCUGGGAAUGACCUUCAUGACCUCACCACCGCUCCGCCCCGGAAAUAUCAACCGCCAACCAGAAGCUCUGUACUACGGCCUACAGGAUGUGGUUGACUGGUCCCAGUGAUGGACAGGUGACCAGCCAGCCCCCUAGCUGCCCUCUCCUGCCGUGACUCCCACCCCUCCGCCCCCACCCCCC
ensembl:lncRNA